GCCGGCUUCUGUCCUCAGGCUCCGCCUCCGCCAGAUCUCAUAUUGAAGGCCUUGAAAGCUCUUCGCUGGCUAAAUGAACGGACUGUGUAAUGCCAUCACUGGCUACUGUAGCAUUCAUAAGGUUGCAUCUACUGUAGAUGAAUCUACCAACGUCAAGCUGUGCAAUGUGUUUGCUGUUUAGAGGAAGAUCUUUGGGGAGACAGAGCCUGCGUGAUUAAAGAGGAAGCAGGAAGCAAAUGAGAA